rnacentral:rRNA from 1 species
AAUCAACGCUGGCGGCGUGCCUCAGACAUGCAAGUCGAACGCGAAAGUCCCCUUCGGGGGACAAGUAGAGUGGCGCACGGGUGAGUAACACGUAGGUAAUCUACCUUCGGAUGGGGAAUAACAACCGGAAACGGUUGCUAAUACCGCAUAAUGCAGCGGCACCUAAUGGUGACAGUUGUUAAAGCGGGGGAUCGAAAGACCUCGCGUCUGAAGAGGAGCCUGCCGCGGAUUAGCUAGUGGUAAGGUAAUGGCUUACCAAGGCGACGAUCCGUAGCCGGCCUGAGAGGACGAUCAGCCACACUGGGACUGAGACACGGCCCAGACUCCUACGGAGGCAGCAGUGGGGAAUCUUGCGCAAUGGGCGAAAGCCUGACGCAGCAACGCCGCGUGAGGGAAGACGGCCUCGGUGU